CCUACGGGAGGCAGCAGCCGCGGUAAUAGACGAAAGUCUGACCGAGCAACGCCGCGUGAGUGAAGAAGGUUUUCGGAUCGUAAAACUCUGUUGGUAGAGAAGAACGUUGGUGAGAGUGGAAAGCUCAUCAAGUGACGGUAACUACCCAGAAAGGGACGGCUAACUACGUGCCAGCAGCCGCGGUAAU
rnacentral:rRNA from 1 species